UGAGAAACCAGGGAGAGGUGUGAAUCCAGAAGCACUCCCAGACUGCGAACCUGUUUUCCCAGGGUGAGGCUCAUCCAUUGCACUGCGGGUGUGCUGACCCCUGCGAUUUCCCCAAAUGUGGGAAACUCGACUGCAUUAUUUGUGGUAAUUUUUGGAAG